rnacentral:rRNA from 1 species
AGGGGUAGCAAUACCACUGGCGCACGGGUGAGUAACACUUUGGCCAUCUGCCCCUAUCACAGACAUAACCUCGGGAAACCGAGGCUAAUAUCUGAUGAGGUCGUGAGAUCAAAGCUUCGGCGGAUAGGGAUGAGCCUGCGGCUGAUUAGCUAGUUGGUGAGGUAAUGGCUCACCAAGGCGACGAUCAGUAGCUGGUCUGAGAGGACGAUCAGCCACACUGGAACUGAGACACGGUCCAGACUCCUACGGGAGGCAGCA